rfam:Schistosoma mansoni strain Puerto Rico chromosome 2, complete genome
GCACUGCUGAGGAGCCUCACAAUAGGACGAAACGGCCGUCCAGUGC